GACGAACGCUGGCGGCGUGCCUAAUACAUGCAAGUCGAACGCACUCUCGUUUAGAUUGAAGGAGCUUGCUCCUGAUUGAUAAACAUUUGAGUGAGUGGCGGACGGGUGAGUAACACGUGGGUAACCUGCCCUAAAGUGGGGGAUAACAUUUGGAAACAGAUGCUAAUACCGCAUAAAACCUAACACCGCAUGGUGUAGGGUUGAAAGAUGGUUUCGGCUAUCACUUUAGGAUGGACCCGCGGUGCAUUAGUUAGUUGGUGAGGUAAAGGCUCACCAAGACCGUGAUGCAUAGCCGACCUGAGAGGGUAAUCGGCCACACUGGGACUGAGACACGGCCCAGACUCCUACGGGAGGCAGCAGUAGGGAAUCUUCCACAAUGGACGAGAGUCUGAUGGAGCAACGCCGCGUGAGUGAAGAAGGUUUUCGGAUCGUAAAACUCUGUUGUUGGAGAAGAAUGUAUCUGAUAGUAACUGAUCAGGUAGUGACGGUAUCCAACCAGAAAGCC
rnacentral:rRNA from 1 species